CGAGCGGCGUCGGAACAGGGCUGCACUCCCCUUUCCCGAUCCCCGCGCGCGUCCCUCUCUAGACGCUGGAAGCGACCGCGUGCCGGAAAAUGCCGCCGGGGCGGCGCGCAGGCGGCGGAGCGGGGCCCCGGCUUUCCCCGCCCCUCCUGCCGCCAUCUUUGGAAGGUCAAGCGAGCCGUCCCCGUCCCGCCGCGUCGCUGUCUCGUCCCGCCGCGUUCCCGCCGCCUCCCCGUGCUUCCCCGCCGUCUCCACUCUGACACGAUCCGCCCCCGUCCCGGACCCCCUCCGCUGCAGGGAAAUGCAGGAGAACGCGAAAGCAUCGGGGCAGAGCAGCCGCUGGAGGUGCCCGAGCCGUCUCCCCCUUGCCCGCAGGGCCGGAGUUGCCCACCGCCGGCAGCUGACAGGUCCGUGCUGGAGAGUGGGAGAAGGGUCCCUGCUGGCUGCCGUGUCCUGGGUGGGCACAGAGCUCUGACCUUGGCCAGAUGGGCUGGUUUCCGGGUGUUUUGAUCCUGACGUCGCCAAAGCCUCAGGUUUGCUGAAUUGGGGCUCCUACCUGUGUGACCCGUGAAAUGUCCCGGAAGCUGAUCGAUGUCUUCCUGCUCCCGCUGUGUUCAUUUGGGCUGUGCUUCAGGCUUCUCUCCCUGGGCCCUUGCCGUUGCCGUAUCUCUUGGAUGCCGUGCAGAACGGAAUCAGGCAGCCAAGCCUCAGGUUCACCUUCUCCCUCACCCUCUGCGCUGCUCGUGUGGCACAGCAGAUCCUGAAGCCAGAGGAGCACGUGUACAUAAGGGUAAAGAGAUUCCUUCUGUCACACCGGUAUUUGGACCUGAGGAAGGUACCAGGUUUUCUCCAGCUUUUCUACAGUUUUGAUUUUGAGUACAAAACAGCACGAGUGGAUCCUCAGAUUUCUUGGGGAAGGGCUGCGUGACAAACAUUGCUGUAAGCUCUAUGUCUACCAGAGGAUUUUCCGGGUCAUUCUUUCCUUUCUCAGCAGUCCUUUGUGUGACCAGGGCUCCCAGAGUCCUAUUCUGGAGAUACGACAGAGUGCUGCCCGUGUCACCUCUAGAGCUGCCCAUGAGCGCUGAUAGAGGAUCACAGCCUCCUCUCGUGGGUCCUGCACGGCUUAGAGAAAAGGUUUCUGGAGAACCAGGUGAUAAAUAAAAUGAUUUCCUUACUCCAUCCUUUGUGGCUAAUAAAUUUAGGAGACAAGAGAGAAAACAGGAAUCGAUCCCAGAUGCCGCUGUUGAGAUGGGUAUAUGAUCUAUAUAUCUAUAUAUAUAUAUAUAUAUAUGAGAGGUAUAUGAUCUACCUGUAUAUAGAUAUAUGCGUAUCUCUGUAUAUCUGUGUAGUGAUAAUAAUGGGAGUUUUUAUGAUACGUUGCUUUACUGUCUUCUAUUUUUAAUAAAGUGCGAUUUUAAGUUAUUAGGUAUAACAUUUUAUUCUGCUUAUUGGCUAAAGUAACAUUUUCUUGUAUUUUAUUGGUAUCAAGUCAUGUUAAUCAUUAAUUGGUAAGAGUUUAUAAUGAAUUAUUAAGGUGUGAAUAUUGUUCAUUAAGGUACGUCUUUUUUUUACUGUAGGUAUUUUCAUGUGUUCGUAUGGGUUUUUAUGUUAAUGAUUUUGGGUUUUUGUGUUAUGAAUAUAUUAGUAUUUUAUUAGGGUUUUUUUGGUUAGUUUACUUGUUUGGUGUGUAGAUCACUCCUGUUAAGUAUGUUUAUCUAUAUAUGUUUUAAAAUGUAAGUUAUAAAUCUACUUGUUAAGGAUUUUUGUAGAGUUCUAUGUAAAAAUUUAAAUCGGUAGGGGAGAUAAAAAGCAGUAAUUAUUAAUAAGAUGAGUAUUUUAGUUUUUAAUAAUGAUUUAAGUUAUUCAGCGAUGUUUUAAUUUUUGAAAAUAUUAUUUAGUUAUUUUUUAUGUGUGAUUGUUUAAUUUUUAAAAAAAAAUUAGUAAUGUUUUUGUAAAUUGAUUUCUUGUGAUUUCAUCAAUUUAUAUAUUUUUAAAAAUGUUUUCUAUUUAUGAUUGUGUGUGAAUAAUAAAAAAUGAACAGUU